GAGAGAGAGGCAACUCCUCGAAAGGAAAAGAAAAAAUUAUUGUAUUUGUACUGGAUUGUCACAUUUAUAAUAGUUUUGGCUUGGUUCGAAUAAAUUGUAUGUAAAUUGCACGUUGUAUGGAGUAUAUCAAAAUUUUUGAAUG